AUAUAUAUAUAUAUAUAUAUAGAUAUAUAUAUAUAUAUAUAUAUAUCUGAAGUAAAAGCAGUGUUUGUUGGUAAUACGUUUGAUUUAUUUUUAAAAUAAUCUGAUUAAAUAAAAUUAAAUUCAAUAUAAAUUCGCGAUUUAGAGUCAGUUUUGGUAAUAUUCUUCAUGAUCCUGGGACAAGAAGGUCAUCGUACAAAAGAUCAAUGAAGACUGGUUCAAUAAAAGAAGAAUAAUUUGUCGUCGUUUUGAGGCAGGAUGCUCAUUGUGCAACGAAUCAACAAAGUCUACAAUAAAUAAUCAAUGCAAUCAUGCGGGUGAUAGUGAAUCGAGUGUUAUACCGUUUGAAUAAUAUAAUAAUCAUGAAUUAGAAGGAUCCUUCGUUUGUUAAUUUAAUUUCAUUCAUGUUUCGCGAUUUAAGAUUUAGUAUCACAUUCAGUUAAAUUGACUGCGAGCAAAGCAGUCAGUCAUAGAGUUAUGAUUUGUUCCUAUAAAGUUUAAAAUUAUUUUUCUUCUUAUAUUACACUAUUCGCGUAGUAGAGUCAGUGCAUUGAAGAAAAUGAUCACGAAAUAAAAAAAUUUUCUUCUAUAAGAGCAUAUUGGAUGUACUAUUCCUUUCGCGGACUAAAUAAAGAAGUCAAAUAGAUAUGAUGGAAAGGCAAAUGAUUUGCAAACUAUUAAUGCGGCCUUGGUCUAUUGUACGAAAUGUUCACAAGAUGGUGCUAUAUAUGUGGGACUUGCUACGCCUCUUCCGGCAAGAUACAUAACUAACAUGUCUCGGUGCCACCAAACGUACACGCGGGAAACAAUAAACAAAGAGAGCACAAUCAUAACUGCUAGAGGUCAUAGUCUAAUUAUACCUACUACACACCGAACAAAGCUAAAUAAACAUCAUAAUUGUUACUUGAUCUGCAAAGUUUCUCUUUAUAUAAUGGAUUGUCAACGA